rnacentral:rRNA from 1 species
GAUUCAUGAUAACUUCACGGAUCGCAUGGCCUUGCGCCGGCGACGGUUCAUUCAAAUUUCUGCCCUAUCAACUUUCGAUGGUAAGGUAUUGGCUUACCAUGGUUUCAACGGGUAACGGGGAAUUAGGGUUCGAUUCCGGAGAGGGAGCCUGAGAAACGGCUACCACAUCCAAGGAAGGCAGCAGGCGCGCAAAUUACCCAAUCCCGACACGGGGAGGUAGUGACAAUAAAUACUGAUACAGGGCUCUUUUGGGUCUUGUAAUUGGAAUGAGUACAAUUUAAACCUCUUAACGAGGAACAAUUGGAGGGCAAGUCUGGUGCCAGCAGCCGCGGUAAUUCCAGCUCCAAUAGCGUAUAUUAAAGUUGUUGCAGUUAAAAAGCUCGUAGUUGAAACUUGGGCCUGGCUGGCAGGUCCGCCUCACCGCGUGUACUUGUCCGGCCGGGCCUUUCCUUCUGGAGAACCUCAUGCCCUUCACUGGGUGUGUUGGGGAACCAGGACUUUUAC